GUGAGGAAUAUUGGUCAAUGGAGGCAACUCUGAACCAGCCAAGUCGCGUGAAGGAAGACUGUCCUAUGGAUUGUAAACUUCUUUAGUAGGUGAGUAAAUGUAGGUACGUGUACCUACUUGCAAGUAACCUAAGAAUAAGUAUCGGCUAACUCCGUGCCAGCAGCCGCGGUAAUACGGAGGAUACGAGCGUUAUCCGGAUUUAUUGGGUUUAAAGGGUGCGUAGGUGGCAGAUUAAGUCAGCGGUGAAAAGCUGUGGCUCAACCAUAGUCUUGCCGUUGAUACUGGUUUGCUUGAGUACAGUUGAUGUAGGCGGAAUGCGUAGUGUAGCGGUGAAAUGCAUAGAUAUUACGCAGAACUCCGAUUGCGAAGGCAGCUUACAAAAGUGUAACUGACACUGAUGCACGAAAGCGUGGGUAUCAAACAGGAUUAGAAACCCUAGUAGUCC
rnacentral:rRNA from 1 species